GGUCGACACUCUAGGAUGUAAUCUUGAAAGCACUCCCAUGCUUCUGGGACUGACUCAUCAUGUUGUUGUUGAAAACUUGAUAUCUUCCCACAAAGAGU
rnacentral:snoRNA from 1 species